AUUGAACGCUAGCGGGAUGCCUUACACAUGCAAGUCGAACGGAGUGGCGAACGGGUGAGUAAUGUAUCGGAACGUGCCCAGUAGCGGGGGAUAACUACGCGAAAGCGUAGCUAAUACCGCAUACUAUUGGAGCGGCCUAUAUCGGAUUAGCCAGUGGGUGGGGAAAGGGCCAACAAAGGCGACGAUCCGGAGCCGGUUUGAGAGGACGACCAGCCACAAUGGGAGUGAGAAACGGCGCAGACUCCUACGGGAGGCAGCAGUGGGGAAUUUUGGACAAUGGGGGAAACCCUGAUCCAGACAUCCCGCGUGUGCGAGGAAGGCCUUCGGGUUGUAAAGCACUUUUGGCAGGAAAGCGGUACCUGCAGAAUAAGCACCGGCUAACUACGUGCCAGCAGCCGCGGUAAUUC
rnacentral:rRNA from 1 species